UGCGUCAUGCUUCACAGAAGCUGUUCAAAAUAUUUACUCAGUCAUUUCCUGGUGGAUUCUGUGGUUUUCGGCUGUGAUUAAAGUCUGAGGUUUCAGUAGCCGUCUUCUCCAAGGGUUUAAAUGAAAAAAAUAUGAACUAGGGAUUAAAAUAAUUAUAAAUAUUUCCAGAUCUGGAUCUAGAAUUUCUCUGAUACCUCUGAUAUCUCUGAUUUCAUGUCAGUAAUGUGACAAGAAAACUAAAAUAUAAGGCCAGAAAGAGAACGAAACGCUGCUGAAAGAAAAGAAAAAAUGACAGAUGAAGACAAGCCUGCACUGAAGGAAAAAAACAUUUAACAUAAAAGAAAAUGUCAGUGGAUUCAGAAAACAUCUAACUCUGCAGCUGAAAAACAGUAUGGACAUAUAUCUACCAAAGUUCUCUCUUGAUCCAGACAGACCUGCGGAGAAAAGAGAAAUUCAUGAGAAAGCGCCAGUUUUUCUCAUCAAACUGUUGAAGAUCUAGAACAUCAUCUAGAACAUCAUCUAACAUCUAGAAUGUCAUCUAGAACAUCUAGAACAUUCAACAUCUAGAAUGUUCUUCACGUCACUUUCAGACGGUGAAUCAGAAUGAGACUGGACUAUUAUUUUCUUCUGAAAAUGGUCCUUUUUAAAAUGUUUAUGCAUGGUUAUGACUGUACUGUGUAUAGGCUAUACUUAAACUGAUUUUUAUUUAAUAGUGUGUACACAGCUUUAUAUAUUUUGUCAUAAUGAUCAGACAAUUGAACAGGUAUAGUUCAUGUUGCUCAAACUGUUUAGAAAUAUUAUGCAUGCAAAAUAUAUUAUUAAUGCAAAAUAUUUUCCCUUAAAGGACAAGUUCGGUAUUUUACAAUUAAAGCCACAGAAACCGAAAUUUCUUGGGCCAGCAGCAUGUGUCCAAAUUUUAAUUUUAACCGUUCUAUUUCUUUAGAAACGACCUUGAAAUAGGGCUUUAAGUGUAAAUUACUGAACUUGUCCUUUAAACGUGUCAUUACUUUACUUCCGUUUUGAAGGUAUUUUUAUCUUAAGAACCUUCUAUAACUGGUGUCAAGUGUCUUAUUCAAGUGCACAAUGAUCUCUGUGAUUGAGUUGCAUCAUGAGCUCCUGGUCAGCAGGGAUGAAAUGUCUGUAUUAUUUGGAUUCUGCUGAACACUUUGUGAAGGUCAUGUAAGUGUCAAAGUGUAUUUACAACAUUAAACUCCGUCUGUUUAUACUUGAAAGUGA